CCCCAGAGAGAAAUGGGCAGCUCGGUGGCACUUGGCCCUGGUGGUCUCCUGCCCCGUGGCGGCAAGCUGGCAAGCGGAAGGAGGCAAUCGCCCGGUGCUGGGAUGCUGUGGAGCAAGGAGAAGGCAAGGAGAAAGUUUACUUGCUGGUGGGAUCACCACUUGAAGGCGGCUAAUAUUCAGCUCUGAAGCUGGUUGAUGUCUGGCAAUGGACCUGGCGAGGCUGCAGCUGGUGGAUGGUUGUCGGAAGAGUUUGCAUUCAGGCUAGUGAAGGCCGCGAGGCUACGCUGGCCGAGAUGGAUGCAAGCUGGUUUGGAAGCCUUGUUUGUGAACAGGCAGCCAAACAGAGGAAGAGUCUGGGGGGACGCUGUCGGAUGGGGGCCAUCCCACUCACCUCUUUGCCUUUGCCUUACAGGGAUGUCUGGAGGCCGGUGAGGUUUUCCCUGAAUCCAGCCUUCUAAGUCGUGAAGAGAACCGCAGGACGUCCCUAUUUUCAUUGGAGAAAUGAACGUGAAAUACUGGCAGUGAGCAAUGGACAAAGCCGUGACCAGACCUGAGAGAAGGAGCUUUGAAGGGAGACCGCAGGCGAACAUCUGCUGCAUUGCAAGUGAUGGGGCAGUGGGGAGAGAGAAGAUGAGGGAGGAAACAUUAGGCCACAUUAGGCGCACCGUCCAUUGGAAGUGCUAUGAAGAUGCUUUGAACAGGAAUGGCUUCCCCUCAGGGUCUCUGGGAACUGUAGGUGGUUAAGGGGACGGGGAGUUGUUACGAGGGUUAGG